rnacentral:rRNA from 1 species
AUUGAACGCUGGCGGCAGGCCUAACACAUGCAAGUCGAGCGGAUGAAGGGAGCUUGCUCCUGGAUUCAGCGGCGGACGGGUGAGUAAUGCCUAGGAAUCUGCCUGGUAGUGGGGGAUAACGUCCGGAAACGGGCGCUAAUACCGCAUACGUCCUGAGGGAGAAAGUGGGGGAUCUUCGGACCUCACGCUAUCAGAUGAGCCUAGGUCGGAUUAGCUAGUUGGUGGGGUAAAGGCCUACCAAGGCGACGAUCCGUAACUGGUCUGAGAGGAUGAUCAGUCAGACAGGAACUGAGACACUGGCUAGACUGCUAGGUGAGGCAGGAGUGGUGAAGAUUGGACAAGUGACGAAAGACGGAGCCCUCCGUGCGGUGUGGGUGAAGACAGUAGGCAGGUUUAAAAGUUAUGGGAGUGGGGAGGAAGGGAAGUAAGUUAAUUCCUUGUUGUUCAAAUGAAAAAAACAGAAUAUGCACCGCCAACCUCCGGGCAAGCAGCCGCAGUAACAGACGAAAAGCACACGUAUGCAC